GGGGAUUUGGCUCAGUGGUAGAGCGCUUGCCUAGCAAGUGCAAGGCCCUGGGUUCGAUCCCCAGCUCCA
rfam:Rattus norvegicus chromosome 15, whole genome shotgun sequence.